UACGUAGGUGGCAAGCGUUAUCCGGAUUUACUGGGUGUAAAGGGCGUGUAGGCGGGAGAGCAAGUCAGACGUGAAAUUCCAGGGCUCAACCCUGGAACUGCGUUUGAAACUGUUCUUCUUGAGUGAUGGAGAGGCAGGCGGAAUUCCUAGUGUAGCGGUGAAAUGCGUAGAGAUUAGGAAGAACACCAGUGGCGAAGGCGACUUACUGGACUGUAACUGACGCUGAGGCAUGAGAGCAUGGGGAGCAAACAGG
rnacentral:rRNA from 1 species